CAAUAAGCGGAGGAAAAGAAACUAACAAGGAUUCCCCUAGUAACUGCGAGUGAAGCGGGAAAAGCUCAAAUUUAAAAUCUGGCGGUCUCCGGCUGUCCGAGUUGUAAUCUAGAGAAGUGUUAUCCGCGCUGGACCGUGUACAAGUCUCCUGGAAUGGAGCAUCAUAGAGGGUGAGAAUCCCGUCUUUGACACGGACUGCCAGGGCUUUGUGAUGCGCUCUCAAAGAGUCGAGUUGUUUGGGAAUGCAGCUCAAAAUGGGUGGUAAAUUCCAUCUAAAGCUAAAUAUUGGCGAGAGACCGAUAGCGAACAAGUACCGUGAGGGAAAGAUGAAAAGAACUUUGGAAAGAGAGUUAAACAGUACGUGAAAUUGCUGAAAGGGAAACGCUUGAAGUCAGUCGCGUUGGCCGGGGAUCAACCUUGCUUUUGCUGGGCGUACUUUCCGGUUGAUGGGUCAGCAUCAAUUUUGACCGUUGGAUAAAGUCCAGGGGAAUGUGGCAUCUUCGGAUGUGUUAUAGCCCUUGGUCGCAUACAACGGUUGGGAUUGAGGAACUCAGCACGCCGCAAGGCCGGGUACUUGUACCACGUUCGUGCUUAGGAUGCUGGCAUAAUGGCUUUAAUCGACCCGUCUUGAAACACGGACCAAGGAGUCUAACAUGCCUGCGAGUGUUUGGGUGGAAAACUCGGACGCGUAAUGAAAGUGAAAGUUGAGAUCCCUGUCGUGGGGAGCAUCGACGCCCGGACCAGACCUUUUGUGACGGAUCCGCGGUAGAGCAUGUAUGUUGGGACCCGAAAGAUGGUGAACUAUGCCUGAAUAGGGUGAAGCCAGAGGAAACUCUGGUGGAGGCUCGUAGCGAUUCUGACGUGCAAAUCGAUCGUCAAAUUUGGGUAUAGGGGCGAAAGACUAAUCGAACCAUCUAGUAGCUGGUCU
rnacentral:rRNA from 1 species